rnacentral:rRNA from 1 species
GAUGAACGCUGGCGGCGUGCCUAAUACAUGCGAGUCGAGCGAACAGACGAGGAGCUUGCUCCUCUGACGUUAGCGGCGGACGGGUGAGUAACACGUGGAUAACCUACCUAUAAGACUGGGAUAACUUCGGGAAACCGGAGCUAAUACCGGAUAAUAUAUUGAACCGCAUGGUUCAAUAGUGAAAGACGGUUUUGCUGUCACUUAUAGAUGGAUCCGCGCCGCAUUAGCUAGUUGGUAAGGUAACGGCUUACCAAGGCAACGAUGCGUAGCCGACCUGAGAGGGUGAUCGGCCACACUGGAACUGAGACACGGUCCAGACUCCUACGGGAGGCAGCAGUAGGGAAUCUUCCGCAAUGGGCGAAAGCCUGACGGAGCAACGCCGCGUGAGUGAUGAAGGUCUUCGGAUCGUAAAACUCUGUUAUUAGGGAAAAACAAAUGUGUAAGUAACUAUGCACGUCUUGACGGUACCUAAUCAGAAAGCCACGGCUAACUACGUG